GACGUCGAUAUUCGACGUCAUAAACACGAACAAGUUUGGUGUUUAUGACGUCGAUAUUCGACGUCAUAAACACGAACAAGUUUGGUGUUGAUGACGUCGAUAUUCGACGUCAUAAACACGAACAAGUUUGGUGUUGAUGACGUCGAUAUUCGACGUC
rnacentral:miRNA from 1 species